GCCACAAGUAUGUAUCUAAACCUUUAAUAAUUUUCAUAACUAUUCCCACCUCUUACCAGUUCCUGGUUCCAAUUCGAGAAGAUCAGAUCGACUAUGUGAAUCCCUUUUAUCUAUGUGAUUAGCGUUAGUUUCUCAAACAUGUAUGUGUCAUUUUCUAUUCCCUCCGUACCAGAGAUGAGUUCGGCUUCCAAAUUGUUCGAUUAUAAGAGUUUUAGAUCUGCAGAAUUGAGUUCGAGUGAAGCAGAUCUGAGGUGAAUUUCCGGUGAUCCCGCCUCGUAUUGCGACCAGAAAAGGCACCACACUGAGGACAGUGAUGUUAACUCUUUUAGGGACUCAAGUAGUGAUGUAAGCAGUGAUUACAACCUCCCAAAGAGUGAAAUUUUUCAGUGGUUGGAUCAGUUGUCGUUAAAUUACCAACACGUCCUUCAAGAAGGCUUCUCUAGUGAUGAGGGUGAAUCAGUAAGACUACAAAGUUGUCUUUCAUUUGAGUAUUUGGAGUGUAAUCAACCUUGGGGUCGGGAACCUUUGAUUGAUUAGAUACUUGAUCUUGUGCGUCGCUUCAUAGACUUGAAAAGCGUGAAAAGUUGUGACUUGUUUUCUUCUAGUUGGUUAUCUGUGGCUUGGUACCCAAUUUAUAGGAGUCCAAUGGGACCAACAUUGAAAGAUCUUGAUGCUGUUUUUUACCUUUCAUUCUCUUCAUACACCAAUCACAGGCUAUGGAUGUUUUCACAACCUCUUCGGCUAAGAGCAUUCGGUUGAAGGUGGCUGGGUUUGGCGGGGCGAAACGGACCUGCAGAAGUAUCAUUGGAACAACUGGGUCACUCGUAAAGUGAACUACCUAACAUGGAGGGCUGUGUUGGGGACGGGGUGUAUCGCUACUAAAGAAGCUUUGACGUGAAGAGGUUUGGCUUUAGAUAACACUCUUUGCGGCAGGUGUGAGCUGGUAAUUGAAGAUGUGAAUCACAUUUUUGUCGAUUGUUUAUCGGCUAGAAGUGUGUGGUGGCAAAUCUGUAGAUGGACUAAGGAUCAACCACAUUAUUUGUCACCUAUAUUAUAUAUUUAUAUCGAGUGGAAUUGCUUAAUGUUUUACUUGCUUCGUAAAAGUUGCAGUAUAAGCUUUUUCACUAGUAUAAGAAUGUUUUCACUAAUAAAAGAUAAAUUAUCAGCAUUCAUUUGUUAAGAUAUAUUUAUACAUAUGAUAGUUUAAGUGAGAAAUAAAUAUAUCAAUGUUAAAGUUUGUUUAUUUUAGUUGUAUAUAAUUUUGU
rnacentral:lncRNA from 1 species